UGCGUAGGUGGGUUGGUAAGUCAGUGGUGAAAUCCCCGAGCUUAACUUGGGAACUGCCAUUGAUACUAUUAAUCUUGAAUACCGUGGAGGUCAGCGGAAUAUGUCAUGUAGCGGUGAAAUGCUUAGAUAUGACAUAGAACACCAAUUGCGAAGGCAGCUGGCUACGCGAAUAUUGACACUGAUGCACGAAAGCGUGGGGAUCAAACA
rnacentral:rRNA from 1 species